AGCGAACGUUUUGCGGCGGGCCUAACACAUGCAAGUCGAACGCACUAGCAAUAGUGAGUGGCGCACGGGUGCGUAACACGUGGGUAAUCAACCCCUUCAGCUUGGGAUAACGACUUGAAAAGGGUCGCUAAUACCGGAUACGGCGAGAGAGGCUUCGGCAUUUCUCGAGAAAGCCUCGCAAGGGGGCACUGAAGGACGAGCCUGCGGCCCAUUCAGCUAGUUGGUGAGGUAAAGAGCUCACCAAAGGCGAAGACGGGUAGCUGGUCUGAGAGGAUGAUCAGCCACACUGGAACUGAGACACGGUCCAGACUCCUACGGGAGGCAGCAGUGGGGAAUAUUAGCG
rnacentral:rRNA from 1 species